UACAGAGGUCUCGAGCGUUGUUCGGAUUCAUUGGGCGUAAAGGGUGCGUAGGUGGCGCUGUAAGUCGGGUGUGAAAUCCUGAGGCUUAACCUCGGAACUGCAUUCGAUACUGCGGCGCUUGAGGACUGGAGAGGAGACUGGAAUUCAUGGUGUAGCAGUGAAAUGCGUAGAUAUCGGGAGGAACACCAGUGGCGAAGGCGGGCACCUGGGCCAACACUGACGCUGAGGCGCGAAAGCUAGGGGAGCAAACAGG
rnacentral:rRNA from 1 species